AUGGGAUGGGGCGACGACGACGGCAACAACGGCCUUCUCUCGGUGCUUGCUGAUGUGGUUGCCAUCGACGCCGGCGACGAGUUGCAGCACGUAGACAUCAAAGGCUGCGGGUGUGACGGAGGAGCACCAUGGCGGGCGUGCAGGCCAUGUCUCUCUAUGUUAAGGGAGCAUUCCUCAAUUUUUUUGGGGUCCAAUGGAACAGCAGGAGUGUGGAGAAUUAACGCACUCGAGGACUCUGGAAUAUGGAUGGAGAGAACGACAGUUGAAGACAUGGAUAUUGUUGUCCGAGCACAUAUAAAGGGAUGGAAGUUUCUGUUAUGGUUUAUGACUUUUUUGUAUGGCAUUCAUAUCUUUACUGAUCAUUCAAGCAGUGCUACACGCAUUUCCAUUCAGUGUUAG
rnacentral:rRNA from 1 species